rnacentral:rRNA from 1 species
ACGUACACUCCUGCGGGAGGCAGCAGUGGGGAAUAUUGCACAAUGGGCGCAAGCCUGAUGCAGCCAUGCCGCGUGUAUGAAGAAGGCCUUCGGGUUGUAAAGUACUUUCAGCGGGGAGGAAGGCGAUAAGGUUAAUAACCUUGUUGAUUGACGUUACCCGCAGAAGAAGCACCGGCUAACUCCGUGCCAGCAGCCGCGGUAAUACGGAGGGUGCAAGCGUUAAUCGGAAUUACUGGGCGUAAAGCUCACGCAGGCGGUCUGUCAAGUCGGAUGUGAAAUCCCCGGGCUCAACCUGGGAACUGCAUUCGAAACUGGCAGGCUAGAGUCUUGUAGAGGGGGGUAGAAUUCCAGGUGUAGCGGUGAAAUGCGUAGAGAUCUGGAGGAAUACCGGUGGCGAAGGCGGCCCCCUGGACAAAGACUGACGCUCAGGUGCGAAAGCGUGGGGAGCAAACAGGAUUAGAUACCCGAGUAGUCCCAUGAU